rnacentral:piRNA from 1 species
UUGGAGACGUACUAUUGAAA